rnacentral:rRNA from 1 species
UAGUCCACGCUGUAAACGAUGAGUGCAAGGUGUUGGGGUUCAAACCUCGGUGCCGCCGUUAACACAAUAAGUAUUCCGCCUGGGAAUUACGAUCGCAAGAUUAAAACUCAAAGGAAUUGACGGGGGCCCGCACAAGCGGUGGAGUAUGUGGUUUAAUUCGACGCAACGCGAAGAACCUUACCAGGUCUUGACAUUGAUCGCCAUCGGUGGAAACACCGAAUCCUCCCUCGGGAGGCGAGAAAAC